CCCCCGUUAGAGUCAAACUAAAACUAAGCUGUGACACGCUUGUAUUUAAGAAGCCCAAAAACGAAAGUUACUCCAAUUUGACCAACUUGAAUCCACGACAACUGAGACACAAACUGGGAUUAGAUACCCCACUAUGCUCAGUCGUAAACUUUAAAUUACACCCCCCUAUCGCCCGGGAACUACGAGCAAAGCUUAAAACCCAAAGGACUUGACGGUACCCCACAUCCACCUAGAGGAGCCUGUCCUGCAAUCGAUACCCCCCGCUAAACCUCACCACUUCUUGCCCAUUCAGCCUGUAUACCUCCGUCGUCAGCUUACCACGUGAGCGCAACUCAGUGAGCUUAAUGCCCAUACGCCAACACGUCAGGUCAAGGUGCAGCAAAUGAAGUGGGAAGAGAUGGGCUACACUCUCUAACAUAGAAUAACACGGAAGACUACCUAUGAAACCUAGUCUAAAGGCGGAUUUAGAAGUAAAAAGAAAAAAGAAUGUUCUUUUUAACCCGGCACUGGGGUGUGUACACACCGCCCGUCACCCUCUUCAAAGCUAUCAAAAAGUAAAUAACUAACUAUUGCACAACAGAAGAGGCAAGUCGUAACAUGGUAAGUAUACCGGAAGGUGUGCUUGGAAACGAAGUGUAGCUUAACCAAAGCCUCUCGCUUACAA
rnacentral:rRNA from 1 species